AUUGAACGCUGGCGGCAUGCCUAACACAUGCAAGUCGAGCGAGCGGCGGACGGUUGAGUACUGUAUGGGGACUGCCCGAAAGAGGGGGAUAACUACUGGAAACCGUUGCGAAUACCGCAUUCUGUCCGAUACCCCCUAUGGGAUUAGCUAGUAGGUAAGGUAAUGGCUUACCUAGGCGACGAUCCCUAGCUGGUCUGAGAGGAUGAUCAGCCACACUGGGACUGAGACACGGCCCAGACUCCUACGGAGGCAGCAGUGGGGAAUAUUGCACAAUGGGCGCAAGCCUGAUGCAGCCAUGCCGCGUGUAUGAAGAAGGCCCUAGGGUUGUAAAGUACUUUCAGUCGGGAGGCGUUACCGACAGAAGAAGCACCGGCUAACUCCGUGCCAGCAGCCGCGGUAAUUC
rnacentral:rRNA from 1 species